UAGAGGCUCAGCAGAGGCAAACACAUGUUGGAUUCAGUGACCCACUUGUUUCUUGAGGAGAACACCUAUUUCUACCAAGGAGCAUUCCUGGAAGGCUAUGGACUUUAAACAACGUUCUGAACAGACUCAUCUCAGGGGACAAAGCAGGUGGUGAUCAGAGAACGCAGAGACCCAGAAGAAUUGUAUGGCAUUCCAGGCAGGACACAGACCAGCCUGGGGAAAAACGGGAACAAGAACGGGCAAUACAGGGAAUACUACUAGGAAGCGAUUUCUGAAGAAAAACGAUGGGCCUGACCAGCAGCCUGCCAAACCAUAAUCUACAAGAGCCCUGUAAGUCUCAGGCAUGGCGACAUCUUUCCAGCGAAACCGGCCAGCUUUUCAGCCAUUUCAGCGUCUGGAACUUUAAUGAUGAUAAUGAGGAGAAGGACUGUUGUUUACAAAAAGAACAGAAAAAACUGUGGAUGAAACACCCUCUGUCCCCGCAAAGGGGCUCUCCGCUUAGGGCUGAGGAGGGAGAACUCACAUUCGCAAGAUAAGCGGUUCCCUUUUGGGACAGACGGGCUUUAACGCCAACUCAACCAAUUUUGGUUUUACAACUUCUCUCAGGAAGAGGGGGAAAAUGAUAGAAGAGGAAAGCGUUCUUGGAAAUGCAAACUAAUCCAGGAAAUCCUCACUUUCAUUCAUCAUAAAGGCUUCACAGAAGCUUUUUCUUUUGGUGAAUUGAAGGAAGAGUCCCAAGUGAGGGAGGUGGCUUGCUCCUGUUCCUGCGACUGCUCUGUUGUCCUGGGCCCAGCGUGACGUUGGUAAUACUGGGCAAAGCCACAGCUGUGUGCCAGCCUGCGCCAUGUUCUCUAUCCGUGCAGCCAUUAAAUA